rfam:Gossypium arboreum cultivar AKA8401 contig_50440_1, whole genome shotgun sequence.
UAAUAAAAAUUUCAUAUAUUUUUACUAUUAAAAACUAGCGUGACUAACAUAAGAAUUAGACAGUAACACGCGAGAUGCCACAUGUACCUCAUGCUGACAUAGGGGGGCCAAUUUUUAACAGUAAAACUGGAUGAAUUUUUUUACA